CCGCGGUAAUACGGGGGGGGCGAGCGUUGUGCGGAAUUACUGGGCGUAAAGGGCUCGUAGGCGGCCUUCCAAGUCGGACGUGAAAUCCCCCGGCUCAACCUGGGAACUGCGUCCGAUACUGGCUGGUUGGAAUCCGGGAGAGGGAUGCGGAAUUCCAGGUGUAGCGGUGAAAUGCGUAGAUAUCUGGAGGAACACCGGUGGCGAAGGCGGCAUCCUGGACCGGCAUUGACGCUGAGGAGCGAAAGCCAGGGGAGCAAACGGG
rnacentral:rRNA from 1 species